rnacentral:rRNA from 1 species
UACGUAGGGGGCAAGCGUUGUCCGGAAUCAUUGGGCGUAAAGAGCGCGUAGGCGGUCCGGUAAGUCCGCUCUGAAAGUCCGGGGCUCAACCCCGGGAGGCGGGCGGAUACUGACGGGCUAGAGUCCGGAAGAGGAGAGUGGAAUUCCUGGUGUAGCGGUGAAAUGCGCAGAUAUCAGGAAGAACACCCGUGGCUAAGGCGGCUCUCUAGUACGGUACUGACGCUGAGACGCGAAAGCGUGGGGAGCGAACAGG